UUUCCGUAGGUGAACCUGCGGAAGGAUCAUUAUUGAAUAAACCUGGCUUGGUUGAUGCUGGUCUUUUCGGAGACAUGUGCACACCUUGUCAUCUUUAUAUCUCCACCUGUGCACCUUUUGUAGACCUGGAUUCAACUUUCCGAGGAAACUUGGUUGUGAGGAAUUGCUUAAUAGGCUUUCCUUGUUAGUUUCCAGGGCUAUGUUUUCAUAUACACCUUAAGAAUGUAACAGAAUGUCAUUAUUAGGCUUAAUUGCCUUAUAAACUAUAUACAACUUUCAGCAACGGAUCUCUUGGCUCUC
rnacentral:misc_RNA from 1 species